rnacentral:rRNA from 1 species
GACGAACCGAGCGAACGUUAUUCGGAAUCACUGGGCUUAAAGGGCGCGUAGGCGGGUCAGCAAGUCAGGGGUGAAAUCCCACGGCUCAACCGUGGAAGUGCCUUUGAUACUGUUGAUCUCGAGGGAGGUAGGGGCGUGCGGAACUUCCGGUGGAGCGGUGAAAUGCGUAGAUAUCGGAAGGAACACCGGUGGCGAAAGCGGCUCUCUGGAACGGUACUGACGGCUGAGACGGCGAAAAGCGUGGGGAGCGAACAGG